AUUGCGCGGUGCUGAUAACUUUCAGGAGAAAAGUCUGAACACACGUUUGUCUGUUCACACAGGUCAUGGUCUCUUCCGGCUCCUGCAGGAAAUGGACGGACCCUUGGCAGCUCAUCAGUGAUGUAAAUCCUUCACCAGUCCUUCCAUUCCUGCAUCCUAAGACACAAAAGUCAUCUGUAGUAUCUUCAUCAUCACUCACUGUUACAUUCAAACAGCAUUUCUCCUUCAUGCCUCCAUCUUGCAUGUGUGUGUGUCGAUCAAGUAAUUCCAAACGUUACUGUUUCUAAAGGCAGAUGACUCUAUUCUUUGAUGUCAGUUGAAGUUUGAGACUUCUGGUCACAAUAAGGUGAUUCUGUUUCAGUUUUUUUUAAACCCAUUUUCACUUUUCUUUAAUAUUUAAAGGUUAUUUAAAGGUAUUAGGGUUGUAAAUUACAAUUUACAAAGCAUUAAAUAAAAAAGAUAUAUAGCCUUUCAUAAAUGAAGCAUACUAUCUCUUAAAAUAAUUUAUUGGUUUAUUUCUUGAGGACCAAUCGAGCAUCCUUCAGGUCAUCAGGAACCCAUGACUCCUCCCCUCCAGACUAUAGAAACAAGUUUUUUUGCCUCCAGUCUUAUACCCUAAACACCUGUGUUUCUGAUAUUACCUUAACUCUUUCUGGGGUGAUGAGCAGUCUUUAAACGCCCCGCUGAUCUCAACGAUUUAAUCUUGAAACAUCUACAGCGAAAUGAUCAUACAGUGCACAAGGUUUCAUCUCUACUAUACUUUGUAAAUAUGUACUUUAACCUCAUGGUCAAAUAUUUUCAAGCAAUUCAUUUUUGGCCUUCAAUAUUCUUGCACUGAUGUUAGUAUUCAAUCUAAUAAUUGUUGCUUAAAUACAUAU